GUAAAAGAGCCCUUCUAAGUCAAUUAAAAUAUGAAUCUGAAGUAAAUGGAUCUCUGGGGAUCAGAUGGACUGACGACUGAACUCACAACCCCUGUCUCCCUCCCCAAAAGAAGUUACAAGGUCUGAGUAUUUUUAUUCUGGAAAAAUACCAAGAUUGUCAGCACUCUAUUGGGUCAGAGGAGAAGACACGACUGGGAAAGGACAUCAGGAGGACGUGUCAUGGCUCCAUCAGCCACAAGUACUACCUGGAAGUGGAACAUGUCUCCACACCUAUGACAGAGCCUGCUUGUUGAUCCCCACAUGCAUCCAACCAAUAGUAACCAAGCAUGAAUGGAUACAAGUAUCUGAAGACUUAGACACAAAGCAAUGUUUCACGAUAGAUUUCAACAUUGCAUGGCCAUGCAGGAGGUUCAAAAUUUCUUC